CUGAAUAUUAUCUACUUAGAUAGAAUACUUCCUAAAUCUCUUUAAGAAGUCUUCACCUAGAAUACUUGGGUGUUCCCCAAAUCUCAUUGAAAAGAAUACCAUGAUGGUAUUUUGUUAGCAUUCUAGCAUGGUGACUGACAAUGAUGGCCUAUAUUGUGGUUCUUAAAAUUUUUGAUCUUAGGAACAUUUUGCACUCCUAAAUGUUGAGUGGGUUAUAUUCAUUGACAGUUAUUGUGUUGUAAGUUAAGAUGGAGAAAUUUUAAAACACAACAGUACACAAGUACGCCUUCCAACUUCUGUCAGAGUGAUAACAUUGUCACAGGUCAUGCAGCCUCUGGAAAACUCCACUGUACCGCUGGGAGACAAGAAAAGAAAGGCAAGUAACAUCGCAGUGUCAUUAUGAAAAUAAUUUUGACCUCAAAGAAAUCCCCCAAAAGGAUUUCAGAGACUCCAAGGGUCCCAAGACCAUGCUUUGAGAACCAGUAAUGUACAGGGUGUAUGUACCCUUGCAUCUUCAGCCUUCCAGGAAAAGGACUGCUAAGAUCUUUCACUCAUCUACCUGAGAAAUCUGGUCCCUUGGGAGAGAUUAGAGAGAAAGCAACAGCAAGUUUUCAAAGUUUGGAGAUGUUAACUUUUUGAACAUCUUUUACCUCUAUUUGAACAUCUUUUACUCUCUUUCCUCACAUCAUCUGUUUACCAACCUUAACUUGGUUUCUCAAAUAGUGUCCUGGUGAGAAGAGGAUGGGUUGAUGAGUUGGCAUAAGAACUCAAGUUCCCUUUGAACUCUCAUUUUUCUAUAUGAAUGCUUGUUAGCUUAUUUGCUAUGAAAUAGCUAAUUGGUUACUAUGAAAUCAUUUCUCAGAAUCUGAGGUCCAAGCCUUGACCCAAGGUGGGCCUGAGCCCACUCGUGUUGUCCCAUCAGCAGCUUUGUUGAACAAUUAGCCAGCUGGGAACUUAAAAACCAAUCAAUCAGCAUAGUUGUUGCCUUACUGCCAGGAUUGGAGAGAAAUGCUAUAUUUAGGAGAAUCUGUA
ensembl:lncRNA